AUUGGGAUUUGGAGUAGGUUUAGGUUUAGGGAUUUGAGAAUAUGUUAAGGUUUAGGUUUAGGAAAUCGGGUUUGAGUUUGGGAUCGUGUUUAGGCUUGGGUUUUCAAGUUUAGUUUUAGGUUUAGGUUAGGGAGUUGAGAUUGGGAUUUGGUGUAGGUUUAGGUUUAGGGAUUUGAGAAUAGGUUAAGGUUUAGGUUUAGGUUUAGGAAAUCGGGUUCGGGUUCGGGAUCGUGUUUAGGCUUGGGUUUUCAAGUUUAGUUUUAGGUUUAGGUUAGGGAGUUGAGAAUGGGAUUUGGUGUAGGUUUAGGUUUAGGGAUUUGAGAAUAGGUUAAGGUUUAGGAAAUCGGGUUCGAGUUUAGGCUUGGGUUUUCAAGUUUAGGUUUAGGUUUAGGUUAGGGAGUUGAGAUUGGGAUUUGGUGUAGGUUUAGGUUUAGGGAUUUGAGAAUAUGUUAAGGUUUAGGUUUAGGAAAUCGGGUUUGGGUUCGGGAUCGGGUUUAGGCUUGGGUUUUCAAGUUUCGGUUUAGGUUUAGGUUAGGGAGUUGAAAUUGGGAUUAGGUGUAGGUUUAGGUUUAGGGAUUUGAGAAUACAUUUAGGUUUAGGUUUAGGUUUAGGUUUUAGCUUAUAGGUUUAGGUUAUAGGUUUAGGUUUUGGUUUUAGGUUUAGGUUAUAAGUUUAAGUUAUAAGUUAUAGGUUAUAGGUUUUGGUUUAGGUUAAGCUUUUGGUUAUAGGUUUAGGUUAUAGGUUAAGGUUAUAGGUUUAGGUUAGGUUUAUGUUUAGGUUAUAGGUUAUAGCUUUGGGAAUUGAGAAUAGGUUAAGGUUUAGGUUUAGGAAAUCGGGUUCGGGUUCGGUAUCGGGUUUAGGCUUGGGUUUUCAAGUUUAGGUUUAGGUUUAGGUUAGGGAGUUGAGAUUGGGAUUAGGUGUAGGUUUAGGUUUAGGGAUUUAAGAAUACAUUUAAGUUUUAGGUUUAGGUUUAGGUUUAGGUUUUAGCUUAUAGGUUUAGGUUAUAGG